UACUGAUAAAGGCAAACUAGCAGCAAUGCUGGGGCGCAAAGCUUCCCAUCCUUAAAGGAUAGCGGGGCUGCCAAA
rnacentral:ncRNA from 1 species